rnacentral:rRNA from 1 species
GAUGAACGCUGGCGGCGUGCCUAAUACAUGCAAGUCGAACGCGCAGCGAGAGGUGCUUGCACCUUUCAAGCGAGUGGCGAACGGGUGAGUAACACGUGGAUAACCUGCCUCAAGGCUGGGGAUAACAUUUGGAAACAGAUGCUAAUACCGAAUAAAACUUAGUAUCGCAUGAUAUAAAGUUAAAAGGCGCUACGGCGUCACCUAGAGAUGGAUCCGCGGUGCAUUAGUUAGUUGGUGGGGUAAAGGCUUACCAAGACAAUGAUGCAUAGCCGAGUUGAGAGACUGAUCGGCCACAUUGGGACUGAGACACGGCCCAAACUCCUACGGGAGGCUGCAGUAGGGAAUCUUCCACAAUGGGCGCAAGCCUGAUGGAGCAACGCCGCGUGUGUGAUGAAGGCUUUCGGGUCGUAAAGCACUGUUGUAUGGGAAGAAAUGCUAAAAUAGGGAAUGAUUUUAGUUUGACGGUACCAUACCAGAAAGGGACGGCUAAAUACGUGCCAGCAGCCGCUGUAA